rnacentral:lncRNA from 1 species
AAAAAUUGAGAGAAAACAGGUCGAAAGGUUUUCUGUGAACAAAGGGACUUUCCGAGUUGAUUUUCUUUGACGAGGUCAUUUAAAGUUUAAGAAAAAACAUAGAUGCGAAUUUUCUUCUUCUUUUUGAAUCCGAAUUUGAGUUCCUGGGGGAUACAAAGUGAAGUUCCGGCUGUUUCUACUGUUGUUCUGCUGAGUCGCUACUGAACCUCGAUAGUAUUCAGAAUCGAAAGGUGUAUUGUCGAGAAUAGAUUUAUUAAAAGAUUUUGAAAUCUCAGGUUUGAUUUCUUUAUUUUUUCACAUCUUUGUUAUGAAAUACUUUGAACAGUGGGAUUUUGCCCAAGAAUGAUGUUUGGUUCUGUGCGUGGUUCUUUUGUUGUUGAACUGCUUCUCGAUGGCGUACAUUUGGAUAUUCUCAGUUAGUAGGAGUCGAUUUCGAGUGGUGGUUUUCUUUGGCUUAACUGAUAUUGUGAUGUCGAAUUUCGUUUGAGUCAAGGAUCUGUCACCUUCGAAUGAACGAUGUGUUCAACUUCCGUGAUUUCUACGCCUAAAAUUAUGACGAUUAUUCUCAGGAUAUUUUCGUUGCUUCAUAAGAUGAUUUUUUUUGCUUCUUCUCCUACAUAUGACUUUCUUUAAUAUUUAAAUCAAUUUGCUUGUAUUUUCUUUCUUAGUUUCAACAUGUUGGACAUGAAUCAUUGAAUGGUAUCGUCCAUAUUUGCGCGUUCUACUGGUAUGAGUUUACCUUUACAUGAAAUUUUAGGACUAUCAUCGAUUAUAGACUGGUUAAUAGCAGUUGUUAGGGACUCGAAUCUAACUAAUCAUUCUGAACAUUGACGGAUUGGGUUAGCUGCCCUGUUUGCACUAUCCAGGUAGCAUACUUGCAAGACCCUGGCUGUAUUUACUAUCUUAUCUCGACAAGCUUGGCAUGGAUGGCUAAAGUGUUUCCUUUUUCUCCUAACUUAUGAUCACCGGUGCAUAUUUAUGCUGGUUUGAGUCUGUUGAAGUCCCCUUUGGAUGACAAUUAACUCUAUGAGGCUCAAUAUAAGCUGGAUUGUACCUGUUGGUUUGCUCGAAUGCAGUCGUUGUUAGUUGUGCAAUCCUGUCUGUAGUAGAUGCCAAGUAUUUCGGUAGCUGAACUAUUUGAUAUAGAUUAUUUUGAAUCAUGGGGAACACUAUUGUGGUCAUAUAUUUCACUGAUGUUGCGUAGCUAGGUCGUAUCAAUCCUUCGUCACUUCUUUGGUCCAAUUCUUGCUUGUUUUGCUGGUGUUUGAAGCAUGCUUGCACUUUAAGUGGCACUGCAUGAAAAUUACUAUUAUGAAACUUAUAUAUGUGCCCAUUUUAAUACUUUGUCAAAGAGGAUUGUGGAUCAUAAUCGUGUCAUCUGUUAGAGUUAGGCAUUGUUCAGUUGGGAUAUGAAAACCAUUUCAAGUUGAUGAUAGUGUCAGCUUGACUGAGCUACUGAUGUCCAUGUUUGGUAGUUUGAAGGUCUCUAAUUCUACAUCUGGUUUGAUAGCAUUGCUUUCUUGUAUUCUUGUCUCAACUCUAGGCUAAGCUCAUACGCCUAGGAUUGAAUUAAUACAUGGCUUCGAUAACAAAUUUCAGCCUAGGUUGGCAAUAUGUGGAAUUGAACAACUCUUGUCAUUCGUGUAUGUCAGAAGAAUUCUUUUGUUUCUUUAAGCUUUGCCAUUGCAAUUUGAAGGAUUUGACAGAGCUCGGCUCUUGAUUUUAACCACCAGUUGGUUUGUCUAUUGAUUGAUGUGAUUCCGUGAUACAUUCAGCAUGUUAGUAGCUCCGUGUAAACAACACUGUCUAGUAUCAUCUGUUUGGCUAAAGAAUAUGCUAUAUAUUUUUGUCGAGUGCCCUGUUCCACAUCCUCACUAAGAAUAAAUAGUCUGAGUUAAACAUGUACCGAUUGUGCGAGUCUUUUCAAGUCAACUCCUGAUGCUUUGGACUUGGUUUUUUCGUUAAUUCAUAAGCUUUUUCCCACCACGAAUAAUCCUUAAAUAUAAAAUCGAUUAGUAUUCGUAACAAGCCUUUAGGGCCGUUUAAAAUACAAUUGUGGUUGCUUAUACGUUCGCGUAGCACGACCAUGACUCUAAAUUAAUUUGGAGUAUGCUUCAGGCAACUUCGACUAAUCUUUUCUUAAUAAUAAAAUAGGCUACAAGGUUUUAAUUAUUUUACACAAGUUCAUUAAAUCACAUAUGGCCUUUUAGUAAUUUCGUAAGUUAGAUAAAAAUAUAAUAUUUCGUAGAAU